GACGAACGCUGGCGGCGUGCUUAACACAUGCAAGUCGAACGGCAGCACGGGUGCUUGCACCUGGUGGCGAGUGGCGAACGGGUGAGUAAUACAUCGGAACGUACCUUAUCGUGGGGGAUAACGCAGCGAAAGCUGUGCUAAUACCGCAUACGCCCUGAGGGGGAAAGCGGGGGAUCGAAAGACCUCGCGCGAUUAGAGCGGCCGAUGCCUGAUUAGCUUGUUGGUGGGGUAAAAGCCCACCAAGGCGACGAUCAGUAGCUGGUCUGAGAGGACGAGCAGCCACACUGGGACUGAGAGACGGCCCAGACUCCUACGGGAGGCAGCAGUGGGGAAUUUUGGACAAUGGGGGCAACCCUGAUCCAGCAAUGCCGCGUGAGUGAAGAAGGCCUUCGGGUUGUAAAGCUCUUUUGUCAGGGAAGAAACACCGGCUCUAACACAGUCCGGGAAUGACGGUACCUGAAGAAUAAGCACCGGUUAACUACGUGCCAGCAGCCGCGGUAA
rnacentral:rRNA from 1 species